CAUUCUGAUGUGCCUAAACCAACUGUUACAAACUGUACCUCUGAUUCGGACUGCUGGCAAAUAAAAACAUUUUGUUUUCUUAACACGUGUCGUACCUCGGACGAUUUCUUCAAUACAUCAACUAUCGACGAAUUCAAUGCUUACGCUGCAAACAGGCAGUUUGGUCGUGUCGAUUCGAUCAUCAUUGUCGUAACUUACAAAAUACUCAUUGUCUGAAAAAGAAAUGCAACUGCUUACCCGGAUAUGAAUAUGUUGAAGGCAUUUGUCAAAAAGCGAUCAACGUCACUUGUACAGAUGAUUCUGAAUGCCUGUUGCCUAGAUCUUACUGUUUCAUCAAUACAUGUCUUUAUCCAGAAGAUUUUCUAGCGCCAGCUAAUGGCUA